UACAGAGGUCUCAAGCGUUGUUCGGAUUCAUUGGGCGUAAAGGGUGUGUAGGUGGCGCCGUAAGUCGGGUGUGAAAUUUCGGAGCUUAACUCCGAAACUGCAUUCGAUACUGCGGUGCUUGAGGACUGGAGAGGAGACUGGAAUUCAUGGUGUAGCAGUGAAAUGCGUAGAGAUCAUGAGGAAGACCAGUGGCGAAGGCGGGUCUCUGGGACAGUUC
rnacentral:rRNA from 1 species